UACGUGGGGGGCAAGCGUUGUUCGGAAUUACUGGGCGUAAAGGGCUCGUAGGUGGCCAACUAAGUCAGACGUGAAAUCCCUCGGCUUAACCGGGGAACUGCGUCUGAUACUGGAUGGCUUGAGAUUGGGAGAGGGAUGCGGAAUUCCUGGUGUAGCGGUGGAAUGCGCAGAUAUCAGGAGGAACACCGGUGGCGAAGGCGGGUCUCUGGGCAGUAACUGACGCUGAGGAGCGAAAGCGUGGGGAGCGAACAGG
rnacentral:rRNA from 1 species